CCGAAACUAAGUGAGCUACUUCAGAACAGCCCAGAGGGCUAACCCGUCUCUGUUGCAAAAGAGUGGGACGAUUCUCAAGUAGGGGUGACAAGCCUACCGAACUUAGAGAUAGCUGGUUACUUAAGAAAAGAAUAUUAGUUCUUUCCUGAGUCUUCCUUUAAACAAAAAAUCUUCCUAGGCUCAGGGAUUAUUCAAAUAAGGCACAGCUUAUUUGAAUCAGGAUACAACCUACAACAUAGGGUAACAUACAAUGAUAAAUUUAGCAAGUGGGCCCAAGAGCAGCCAUCUUUAAAAAAGCGUCAAAGCUUAGCUUAAUUAAUCCUAUUAAUUCCUUCAUUGAAAACUAACCCCUCAUUACUACUAAGUAACUCCAUACUCCUAUGGAAGCUAUAAUGCUAGAACUAGUAACAAGAAAAAGACUUUCUCCAAAAUGUAAGCUUAAGCCUUAAUAGACAAUCUGCCGGCAAUUAACGUAAAUGAACUAACUAUAAUAACAGACCCUCAAGAAAACCCUAUAACCUCAAACGUCAACCUUACACCAGAACAU
rnacentral:rRNA from 1 species